AAGUCGUAACAAGGUAACCGUAGGUGAACCUGCGGUUGGAUCAUUAAAGAAUUUUAAAGGUUUUACUUUUUAGUCAUUCCUUUAGCUUUAAAUUGGGUUAGUUCUUCAAUCGAAGACUAACUUCAAACCUUGUGUGCAUUGUUAACUGUCUUUGGUGAGAACGAAAAAGGAAUUUAUUUCUUAAUCACUCACCAAAAUUUAUUUUAAAACUUUGUUUAUUAAACGUCUUGAAUCAAUUUAUUAAAAUUGAAAACAACUUUUGACAACGGAUCUCUUGGCUCUC
rnacentral:misc_RNA from 1 species